rnacentral:pre_miRNA from 15 species
CGUGUCCACGCCGUCUAAGUGAAUGCUUUGCCACAGUCUUCGAUGUUCUGAAAUGAAGCCUGGGCUCAGAUUCGCUUAGGCCGGAGUUUGACACGGCA